rnacentral:tRNA from 1 species
GCCGAAGUGGCGGAACAGGCAGACGCGAUGGUCUCAAAAACCAUUGAGGGGUGACCCUCAUGUGGGUUCGAGUCCCACCUUCGGCA